CUCUCUCUGGCUGGACCUGGACUGCAGUCACACUCUAAGAGCUCCUCUUUCUACACCUCUGCCAGUGGGCGUUCGGUCAGAGACAAGCUAUGGCACCGGCUCCCGGACGCACGGGAGGACUCCUACCAGGGACAGAGUCCGCACAGGUGACCUGAGUGGCUGUGCACAGCCUUUGCUUCUGAGACGUGCCGGGAGCAGGUACCAGAGCAAUGAGGAAGCAGGACCCAGACCCCUGACUCCUAACUCCAGGUGAAGUCCACCCUGAGCUCAGGAGCAGAGCUGCCUCCAUCGGGUGUGGAGAGACAGAGCCUCCUCCCCAGCCAUGCCUCCUCAUCG
rnacentral:lncRNA from 1 species